GAUGAAGAACGUAGCGAAAUGCGAUAAGUAAUGCGAAUUGCAGAAUUUCCGUGAGUCAUCGAAUCUUUGAACGCACAUUGCGCCCACUGGUAUUCCGGUGGGCAUGCCUGUUCGAGCGUCAUUAUCCUCCCUCAAACCUCGGGUUUGGUGUUGGACCCAAGUUGUGUGAACAACUGGUCUUAAAGACAAUGACGGCGUCCGUGGGACCCUCGGUGCAACGAGCUUUUAGGAGCACGCGCCGAGUUUCAAGGACCUUCCGGGCCGGUCUCCUUUACCAUUUUACAAGGUUGACCUCGGAUCAGGUAGGAAUACCCGCUGAACUUAAGCAUAUCAUAAGCGGAGGA
rnacentral:misc_RNA from 1 species